UACGUAGGGUGCAAGCGUUAAUCGGAAUUACUGGGCGUAAAGCGUGCGCAGGCGGUUGUGCAAGACAGAUGUGAAAUCCCCGGGCUCAACCUGGGAAUUGCAUUCGAGACUGCGUAGCUAGGGUGCGGAAGAGGGAAGCGGAAUUUCCGGUGUAGCGGUGAAAUGCGUAGAUAUCGGAAGGAACACCAGUGGCGAAAGCGGCUUCCUGGUCCAGCACCGACGUUCAGGCACGAAAGCGUGGGGAGCAAACAGG
rnacentral:rRNA from 1 species